rnacentral:rRNA from 1 species
ACGCUGGCGGCCGCCUAAACAUGCAAGUCGAACGAAGUAGCAAUCUUAGUGGCAGACGGGUGAGUAACAUGUAGGUAUCUGCCCUUUGGCCUGGAAUAACACGAGGAAACUUGUGCUAAUACCGGAUAAGUCUUUACGGAGAAAGCUUUAUGCACCAUUGGAUGAGCCUGCACUUGAUUAGUUUGUUGGUGGGGUAAUGGCCUACCAAGACUGUGAUCAAUAGCUGAUUUGAGAGGAUGAUCAGCCACAUUGGGACUGAGACACGGCCCAAACUCCUACGGGAGGCAGCAGUGGGGAAUCUUGCACAAUGGAGGAAACUCUGAUGCAGCGAUGCCGCGUGAGUGAAGAAGGCCCUUGGGUUGUAAAGCUCUUUCGUCGGGGAAGAAAAUGACUGUACCCGAAUAAGAAGGUCCGGCUAACUUCGUGCCAGCAGCCGCGGUAAUACGAAGGGACCUAGCGUAGUUCGGAAUUACUGGGCUUAAAGAGUUCGUAGGUGGUUGAAAAAGUUAGUGGUGAAAUCCCAGAGCUUAACUCUGGAACUGCCAUUAAAACUUUUCAGCUAGAGUAUGAUAGAGGAAAGCAGAAUUUCUAGUGUAGAGGUGAAAUUCGUAGAUAUUAGAAAGAAUACCAAUUGCGAAGGCAGCUUUCUGGAUCAUUACUGACACUGAGGAACGAAAGCAUGGGUAGCGAAGAGGAUUAGAUACCCUCGUAGUCCAUGCCGUAAACGAUGUGUGUUAGACGUUGGAAAUUUAUUUUCAGUGUCGCAGGGAAACCGAUAAACACACCGCCUGGGGAGUACGACCGCAAGGUUAAAACUCAAAUGAAUUGACGGGGACCCGCACAAGUAGUGGAGCAUGUGGUUUAAUUCGAAGAUACGCGCAGAACCUUACCAACACUUGACAUGUUCGUCGCGACUUUAAGAGAUUAAAGUUUUCGGUUCGGCCGGACGAAACACAGGUGCUGCAUGGCUGUCGUCAGCUCGUGUCGUGAGAUGUUGGGUUAAGUCCCGCAACGAGCGCAACCCUCACUUUUAGUUGCCAUCAUUAAGUUGGGCACUCUGAAAGAACUGCCAGUGAUAAGCUGGAGGAAGGUGGGGAUGACGUCAAGUCCUCAUGGCCCUUACGUGUUGGGCUACACACGUGCUACAAUGGUAUCUACAACAGGAAGCAAGACUGCGAAGUUAAGCAAAUCCCUAAAAGAUACCUCAGUUCGGAUUGCACUCUGCAACUCGAGUGCAUGAAGCUGGAAUUACUAGUAAUCGUGGAUCAGCCGUGCCACGGUGAAUGCCGUUCCCGGGUCUUGUCACACCGCCCGUCACACCAUGGGAGUUGGUUCUACCUUAAGGCAAGGUUUCAAACCCUUGACCACGGUAUAGUCAGCGACUGGGGUGAAGUCGUAACAAGGUAGCCGUAGGGGAACCUGCGGAUGGAUCACCUCCUU